AACGCACCUUGCGCCCUUUGGCUAUUCUGAAGGGCAUGCCUGUUUGAGUAUCAUGAACACCUCAACUCUCAUGGUCCGCCAUGAUGAGCUUGGACUCUGGGGGUCUUGCCGGACCAGCGUCGGCUCCCCUAAAAUGGAUCAGCUUGCCAGUGUUUGGUGGCGUCACAGGUGUGAUAACUAUCUACGCAUGUGGUUCCCCGCCAUGUAACCUUCAGUGAUGGAGGUUCGCUGGAGCUCACAGAUGUCUCUCCUCGUGAGGACAGCUUUUUGAACGUUUGAUCUCAAAUCAGGUAGGACUACCCGCUGAACUUAA
rnacentral:misc_RNA from 1 species